rnacentral:rRNA from 1 species
AACGAACGCUGGCGGCAUGCCUAACACAUGCAAGUCGAACGAGACCUUCGGGUCUAGUGGCGCACGGGUGCGUAACGCGUGGGAACCUGCCCUUAGGUUCGGAAUAACUCCCCGAAAGGGGUGCUAAUACCGGAUAAUGUCUUCGGACCAAAGAUUUAUCGCCUUUGGAUGGGCCCGCGUUGGAUUAGCUAGUUGGUAGGGUAAAAGCCUACCAAGGCGACGAUCCAUAGCUGGUCUGAGAGGAUGAUCAGCCACACUGGGACUGAGACACGGCCCAGACUCCUACGGGAGGCAGCAGUGGGGAAUAUGGGACAAUGGGCGAAAGCCUGAUCCAGCAAUGCCGCGUGAGUGAUGAGGGCCUUAGGGUUGUAAAGCUCUUUUACCCGGGAUGAUAAGGACAGUACCAGGAGAAUAAGCUCCGGCGAACUCC